rnacentral:rRNA from 1 species
CACGUAGGGUGCGAGCGUUGCUCGGAAUCACUGGGCGUAAAGGGUGCGUAGGCGGGUCUUUAAGUCAGGGGUGAAAUCCUGGAGCUCAACUCCAGAACUGCCUUUGAUACUGAAGAUCUUGAGUUCGGGAGAGGUGAGUGGAACUGCGAGUGUAGAGGUGAAAUUCGUAGAUAUUCGCAAGAACACCAGUGGCGAAGGCGGCUCACUGGCCCGAUACUGACGCUGAGGCACGAAAGCGUGGGGAGCAAACAGGAUU